rnacentral:rRNA from 1 species
UGGGGAAUUUUGGACAAUGGACGCAAGUCUGAUCCAGCCAUUCCGCGUGCAGGACGAAGGCCUUCGGGUUGUAAACUGCUUUUGUACAGAACGAAAAGGUCUCCAUUAAUACUGGGGGCUCAUGACGGUACUGUAAGAAUAAGCACCGGCUAACUACGUGCCAGCAGCCGCGGUAAUACGUAGGGUGCAAGCGUUAAUCGGAAUUACUGGGCGUAAAGCGUGCGCAGGCGGUUAUAUAAGACAGAUGUGAAAUCCCCGGGCUCAACCUGGGAACUGCAUUUGUGACUGUAUAGCUGGAGUGCGGCAGAGGGGGAUGGAAUUCCGCGUGUAGCAGUGAAAUGCGUAGAUAUGCGGAGGAACACCGAUGGCGAAGGCAAUCCCCUGGGCCUGCACUGACGCUCAUGCACGAAAGCGUGGGGAGCAAACA